GAUGAACGCUGGCGGCGUGCCUAAUACAUGCAAGUCGAGCGGUAAGGCCCUUCGGGGUACACGAGCGGCGGACGGCUGAGUAACACGUAGGAACGUACCCCAAACUGAGGGAUAAGCACCGGAAACGGUGUCUAAUACCGCAUGUGCCCUUCGGAGUAAAGCUACGGCGGUUUGGGAACGGCCUGCGCAUGAUUAGCUUGUUGGUGAGGUAAUGGCUCACCAAGGCGACGAUCAUUAGCUGGUCUGAGAGGAUGAUCAGCCAGACUGGGACUGAGACACGGCCCAGACUCCUACGGGAGGCAGCAGUAGGGAACUUUCCGCAAUGGGGGCAACCCUGAUGGAGCAACGCCGCGUGCAGGAUGAAUGCCUUCGGGUUGUAAACUGCUUUUAUCUGUGACGAUUAUGACGGUAGCAGAUGAAUAAGGAUCGGCUAACUCCGUGCCAGCAGCCGCAGUAA
rnacentral:rRNA from 1 species